GACGAACCGUGCGAACGUUGUUCGGAAUCACUGGGCUUAAAGGGCGCGUAGGCGGGUGCUCAAGUCUGUGGUGAAAUCCUCCGGCUCAACCGGAGAACUGCCAUGGAUACUGGGUGUCUCGAGGGUGGUAGGGGUAUGCGGAACUAUCGGUGGAGCGGUGAAAUGCGUUGAUAUCGAUAGGAACUCCGGUGGCGAAGGCGGCAUACUGGACCACUUCUGACGCUGAGGCGCGAAAGCCAGGGGAGCGAAACGGG
rnacentral:rRNA from 1 species